GAAGAAGGUACGGAAAAGGAGGGAGAGAAAGAAAAUUCAAUGCACCAGGGGAACUGACCAUCAGCUGGAAAUUCUCAGCCUGAGAGUUUGUAGCCCCCUGGAGCUGGGAAGGUCAGCUGAGCCCUCCCCACAACCCCAGCACAUCAGAGGGGCUUCCCUGCGGAAAUACUCCUGUUUGAUCUGCAGAUCUGUGUAACGGAGGAGGAGAGAGGGAGGAAAAAAGCGAGAGCGGCUCUAUUCUGAUAUAUACGUACUUUUCCAGGCAUGCCCCCUGCCCUGUUGGGCAUAAUUGCCUGUUUAAUUACCUGUAUUCCCGGUGGCCUGCAAAUUCUGGGAGGACAGGGGCAAUGUUGAUCCUUACAUCCCCACACAUAGAACAGCUACCAGGAAGAGCAAGUCUCUGAUAAAUGUUUGCUGAAGGCCUGAGGAGAAGAGAGAGAGCAGCUGGGGAGAGAGAGUCUUACGUACAUACACCCCUCCUCAUCUCCAAGGGCCAGCUUCUCUCCGUCGAGCAAAUCCCUGGACAUUUUCUCUUGGCCUCAGAGGUCUUUUUAGAGUUCUUGGCCUUUCUUCUUAUGGGGGCCACAUGGAGGACAAGUUGGCAUAGUGUCUGCCACCUGGGGUUGGGGGGCUGGCCGUGCCUCUUCACCCACAUGGAUGUCUCCCACUUGCCCUCCCCUGGGGGCGCUGCAGAGUGAAGAUUGUUCUGUACCAGGCGGAGUCCUGGGUCUUUCACAACCAAUGUCUAUGGAACACGCCACCCCAAACCUGUAGACGACACAUUCUUUUCAAGUUCACAUGCAACGUUCCCCAAGACAGGCCAUAUGCUGAACCACGAGAUCACUCUCAAUACAUUUCAAAGGAGCGAAAUCACACAGAACAUGUUCUCUGAGGACGAUGGAAAUAAAUUAGAAGAGUAGAUACAUUCAAAAUCCCCAAAUAUCUGAAGAAACUCUCUCAGUGCUUGACACAGUGUAGAUCCUCAACAAUUUCUGCCUCGACAUCCUUCUCUACCACAGUAACGAUCCCUCUGCUGCUGCUGAAAGUAAAGGCCGACCACCGGCCAAGGUUACGGCCACAGUCCCAGGCCUGGCACUUACUGCCCUGUCUGCACAGUGAGCUGGGACAAUGAGUCCACCUCGGAGCCCACCCUGAGUCCCUCAGCAUUCACCAGAUCCACACUGAGGCAGGAAGAUCUCCGCUAUGCUGCCAGAAUGGGGUCCCAGCCCACUCUCCACUCCAAGGAGCCCAGCCUUCUCGAGAUGUGGGGAGAGAGCUCAACGGGGUGAUGGCUCUUGAUCUUUUUACUUAGAAUGUUCUCUGGCAGAUAAAAUCAAAUUCAUUUUGUUUAGGGAGUUUAGCCGAAAUCCCUUGAGGAACAAAUGAAGGCAGCACACAGAAAUGCCUCCUUUCCUCUGCCUGCCAUUUUAGAGGGUCCCCAAGAGGCCAGGAAUACAGUCAACCAGAGAGAAACCCAACCAGCCAAGUCAUACGAGGGAGACGGAGACUGCCAUUGUGACAACCUUUGGACUAAAGAAUGAAGUGGGAACUGAAUUUCACUGAAGGCUGUGCUUGAGCUUUUCAAGGCCAAUAGUCUGAUCCAUGUGUUUGGUUCACAAUAUAAAUGGACAAUUGUGGUGCUGAUAAGUCACCACCCGGAAGAGCCCAAGGGUGGAAGUACCUGUUAUUGGCACAUGCUGUGUAUAAACCUUCUACUGAGACUAAGCUGGUUGCAGCAUCAUUUUCCUACAAAUGAGGGUAAAGAUCUCCUAGAUAAGAAUGAGUUGGAAAUUAAGACCCAAAUUAAAGCACAUCUAAAGAGGUUGGUACGUGACAAAACCUCCUCAGAAUGCAGUCCAUGGAAGGUUUCCGCCGGGAUCCUGUCAAGAGAGGCGAGUUUUAAAAGGUCUAUGAAUCCUCUAGCUAGGGGGGAAAAGACAAGAGGCAGCAAAGACAGACAGCUAACAAGAAUAGCAUCACCUCCACCUCCACCACCAUUUCUUGGGAGGAGACAUCAUGGAAGCCACUGUUUUCAGUACUUCGGUAAGUUAUAAACUCAUUUGGAUAACGCACCGCAAGUCAUGAAGCUACAGGCCACCAGGGCGUGUACAGGCAACCAAAGCGAUUCCCAGCUGAAGUUCUGAAAUCUCUGGUUCAGUCAAAACGCAGUAGAGGCACCCUAGCGGCCCGAGCACACAAAGAUAAACGGUAAACAGAAAUUCAGAGACCAAAUUCAGAGAGUCGAGGUGAAGAAUCUACUUACGUUCUCACUCACCCACCUAGCAAGUCUUUCUUUUAUUAACUGCUUACGAGAGGCCAGGCGCUGGGGAUGCACAUAUGAAUAAAAUGAGACCUCUGACCUUUAAGAACUCCCAGUCUAGUCUCUUCAGAACCCUCUAUUUCCACACUGUGACACUUCUGCUAGUGGAAGGGCACGUUAACCGUCUAAGAGGCUGCAGCAACGGGCAUAACCUGGAAUUCUUUCAUCAACCCUGGUUGUGUGGCCACCAUAAGUCCCCUCAAUACGGUGCAGCUCCCGGAGAGCAGGAACCAUCCACACAAACCACAGGAUGAAAAUUCGCCCUCCCCCACCAUACUAGUUCACCUAAGCUGACUUUUGGGGUCAACGGAAUUUAUUUCUGACUCUACCUCCCACCCCCUCACAACCACAUCAAGUAUUUCAGAUCAAGCAUCUGUGAAUCAUAGGUCAAGCUGAUUCAUUUCUUAAAGUUUCCGGAUUAUGAAUGAAAAUGGUAUCGAUCACCUGGAUGAGGAUCAAAUACAGGGAGAGACAGCGCGACAGUCGAGACUUGCUCUGCAUUUACCUGCAACAAUGCCAACUAGAUUUCCAGCAUUUUAUUGAGACGAGGAGAGAGCUGCUGAAAAAUUAGCAGGGAGUGAGAGUCGUAAAUGAAAAUGAUCCAUCAUUCCUUUUUUUUUUUUUUUUUUACCAAUUUAAGAUGUGUAACAUGCUAAUAAUAUUCUCUCCAUUCACUGUGCUGCCUUCUUGUUUUAUUUUGGUUAUUGUGUAAAAUGUUUAUAGUAGGCUUUUGGAAGCUCAGAACACAGAUUCAGAGCCUAUAAAAUGAUGCUUUCCAUAUCAGAAAGCGGAAUGGGAAGGUGAUGUGAGCUCAGCACCUACUGCAGUCUCAUUUCAUAUUAAAGACCCAGCGGGGUGGGAAGCAGAGGCUGGGAGGGGUGAGGUCACCUGCCCCGGCAGGUAGCUCACAGUGGCCUCAUUCCUCCACAGAUCGGCUCAACAGAUCAGCUUAGCUCAAGGGGUGCUCAGAAACAGAAGCUCACGGUAGAGAUGCAAAACAGUGUUGGGAGCAGGAAAGACAAAUUCCCAGAGACCUUUUGGGGCUGUGACUCCCACGCACUUUUCACACCCAUUCACCCCAACCUUUCACCUGCAGAACCAUGGUGUCUCCAGAUCAAUGUGUAAUGCCAAGACAAGGGACGAGAACUCUCACCCUACAUGGGAAAGCCUGAUGGGGACCCCAAGGGAAACCCACCAGUGUGUGAAUCAGAUCCUGUGACCCUUGUGGUCCUGCAUCUCAAAGCAGGGGACACGUGAUCAAAGCCUUGAAGCUUAGAGGGAAACUCAACCUAUGAAUCAUGGCAGCACAGAACCUUCUCUGAGCCUCCCUCAGAACCCACUGACACUUAGUGUGUCACCAGGGGCCAGAGCAGCUGCACAGUUCUCAUGUGAACCAAGACGAUUUAAUGAGUUUUGGUGGUCUCUUAGGAUGCCUCAUCAAUUCACGAGAUGAUCUAUCCGCAGGUGACAAGGUUCAGAAAUGCCAGAUGAAACAUUCACAAGCGAGUCUGGUUUUACCUUUUGGUUUUUUUUUUUUUUUACUGAAUACUUGGCUAAUUUGGAAUCAUCAUAUUAAUAGAUGGAAACCCAGAGAAGGUUAGUGACUUGUCUAAGAACACACAGCUAGAACUAGACAAACCUGAUGGUCAAACUCAGGAGUCCAUAAUCUCUCUCCCCAACACCCGAUUGCCUUGCUUAGGACAAAAAGACCACACAAAGCAAAGGAAAAAAUAUAAACAUUUUAAUUGGAUAAGAAAAGAAUAAGAGAGAAGUGUGAGAUCUAAAGGCAGUGCAUUCCUGGCCAAUCACAGACUCUUUGUGACAUGAACACAGUGAAGGGCUCUGGGCUGAAUCUCUAUUUUAAAAUUUUAAAAUUUAUCUUAAUUAAAAUAGAAUAAAAAUAUAAUUAAUUAAAAUACAUAUUUUUUUAAUUAAAGAUUGGCAUUUGAGCUAACAACUGUUGCCAAUUUAUUUUUUUCCCUGCUUUUUUUUUUCUCCCCAAAUCCCCCCAGGACAUAGUUGUCUAUUUUAGUUGUGGGUCCUUCUAGUUGUGGCAUGUGGGAUGCUGCCUCAACAUGGCCUAAUGAGCAGUGCCAUGUCCGCGCCCAGGAUCCAAACCCUGGGCCACCAAAGCAGAGCACAUGAACUUAACCACUUGGCGACGGGGCCGGCCCGUAAAAAAUAUUUUUAACGUGCCCUUUUCCCAUCCCGCCACAUAGCGGAGAGAGAGUUAAUAUAUUCUGUUUAUCCGUUCUGGUGGCACUGUGUCAGCCCUAUUAUUCAGGGUCUAACAGUUGAAAGAGGCUCAGUGAGUCCAUUGGACAGAUGAGAAAAAUAAGGUCCAGGGAUAGGAAAUGACCUGCCCGAGGAAAUCUAACAUCCCUCGCUCUCCAGACCUGUGGUAUUCCCAGUGCAGAGUGCACCUACUUCCCUAGCUUCUGCAGAGAAGGGAAUUCAGGUCCCUCUGGCAACCCUGAUUUCAUUUCUCAUGAUUCUGUCUACUGGUUUAGCAAAAUCCCCAGGGCAAUUGGCUGAUUCUGAUGAAAUGUAUUGUAGCUACCAAAAGAUAGCAGUGGACAGGGUUAGUUUGUCAACAUAUACAGGAGAAGGGAUCCUGAACUAUAAUGAGCAUGAAAACAGAUAAGGAAUUUAUUUAUUUGGUCCACAUAAAAGGUAUUAUAGCCACACAACGUAAUAAAACUAUGUAGCAGUUACAAAGAAUAAGGUAGCUGACAUGGAUAGCACUUGAUAUAUUGCUGAGUAGGAAAAGGCAAGUUGCAGAAUAAUCUCUUUAUCACAGGUCUACAAAAACAGUACUCUGUGUGUGUGUAUGUGUGUGUACAUAAAUGCAUUAGAGAGGUCUGCGAGGAUGUGCUCCAAAGUGAUAACCUAAGCAGAGAUGAUGGGGAAACAAGGAUUAUGGGCAGUGAUCAAAAAAGGACU
rnacentral:lncRNA from 1 species